rnacentral:rRNA from 1 species
UACGUAGGGUGCGAGCGUUAAUCGGAAUUACUGGGCGUAAAGCGUGCGCAGGCGGUUUUUUAAGCCAGAUGUGAAAUCCCCGGGCUCAACCUGGGAACUGCAUUUGGAACUGGAAGACUAGAGUGUAGCAGAGGGGGGUAGAAUUCCACGUGUAGCAGUGAAAUGCGUAGAUAUGUGGAGGAAUACCAAUGGCGAAGGCAGCCCCCUGGGUUAACACUGACGCUCAUGCACGAAAGCGUGGGGAGCAAACAGGAUUAGAUACCCUGGUAGUCCACGCCCUAAACGAUGUCAACUAGGUGUUGGGGGAGGAGACUUCCUUAGUACCGUAGCUAACGCGUGAAGUUGACCGCCUGGGGAGUACGGUCGCAAGAUUA